UGAACGAGGCUGAACAAGGGUGCUGCUGCUGUAUGAGAAACAAGCCGGUGAGAGUUUCUAAUUCCAUUCAAAAUCUUCGUUUUAAACCAAAAGAACUCUCAAAAUGGUGGCCCCAUGGAGACAAGUUGGAAUGACGUACAUCCAGUACUCUGCAAUCGCCGCAAGGCUCGUUAGGAGAGCAUUGCGACCAGAGCUGAGGGAACAGGCUCUCAAGAUUGAGGACUCUGCAGCUAAGUCCACAAAGUGGGAAGCCGGUAAACCAGUCUCAAAAGAAGCCGCUCUAUGAUGUCUUUACUCUCGUGAUUCUCCCAAUCUUCUACCGUCAAGCUGAAUUCCUAUCCCAGACCCUACAUGCAGAAACCAGUCUACCCCAUCACAACGACAAUGUUAUUAUUUACGGAAUGGAUCUGAUCAUAUUGAGAGACAUGAAGAAUCAUAUGGAAAUCUACAGUCCAUCAUGAUAGAAGGAUCAGAAAAGAAAAACAGCAAAUGGAGAUAUUGUAUACAAAAUGAGCACGAGAAGUCAUGCUUUCUGCGUUUUAUUCCAGAAGAAUCCAGAUGCAGUGAAACAGUUAGCGUACUAAAUCUCGUCCGCAUGUCAAUGUCUGUGCUGUUUUUGAAACCAUUUGUAAUUUUGAUUUUACACAAACAAUUUUGUCCUUUCGAAUAUGUUAUUCACAUGUUUAUAAUGAUAGGACAAUCUUGAGUGUUUUCACUCCCUAUGAAAUUACGGAAAGAUUACUGUCUGUAUUGUAUUACAGGAAGUGUGAGUGUGGUGUCUUAAAAAUAUUCCCUAUAUUAUAAAAUCUUUGGCUUUGUACCCUCAUUCUAACAGAAUGCUAUGAUGUCAUUUUUCUGAGGAUUUACAUGAUAGGAUAAAAAUUCAGCUUGAAGAUAAAAGUAUGAACCCAUUUUUAGAAAUCUAUGAUUGUUCAAUUCAUUUUGAGCAAGAUAUAAAUGUAGGAUUUAAUUCAUGUAUUAAAGUAUUUCAGAGUUCUACAAAAUUCUACAUCUUGUGUUUU